AGAUUUUUUGAGAUUUUUUUUAAUAAAUCAGAUAAUGAUCCCACGCAAUGGAGAGUUGGGUCAUUUCAGUUGCACAUGGCCAGAAAAAGAAAACAAAUGAGAAAAGAGGGACUUUUUUUUUUCAGAAAAUAUUUGACUUGAUGGGUACUUUAGUAGGCAUUUUCAUUUGUAUUUCAUAAUGUGAUCUACUUAAAUAAUUUUGCAGGCUGCAAAUAAGAUGCAAUCAGUUUUUCACCCAACUACUUUUUGAGAAGAAUGUUCCGGCAAAGAGAAGAGUUUCCAUCUUCUUCGACAACACAACCAAUGCAAACGUGAAUGUUUUGGGUUCCUAUGUCAAAGUUAAGCACAAUGGGGCAUCCAAAGAAAAAGUCAUCUUAGCAACAAGAAGCUUCUCCUGUUUAGGCAAAAUUUUUAUUGUGAUUUGUUGGUUGACCAAUUCAGAGUUCAAGAUUGUAAUUUUACUGUAAUAUUAUUUUUUACGAUGGAGGGUUACUUUUUCUUUGUAUAUUGAGGUUGUGUUUGUGCGGUUCA